UGGAUAGGUCAGUCGGUAGAACAUGAGACUCAUAUUCUCAGGGUUCGAGCCCCACAUUGGGCAAAA